rnacentral:rRNA from 1 species
UCCGUAGGCGGAUUGAUAAGUCAGAGGUGAAAUCCCACAGCUUAACUGUGGAACUGCCUUUGAAACUGUUAGUCUUGAGUUAUAUGGAAGUAGAUAGAAUGUGUAGUGUAGCGGUGAAAUGCAUAGAGAUUACACAGAAUACCGAUUGCGAAGGCAGUCUACUACGUAUAUAUUGACGCUAAUGGACGAAAGCGUGGGGAGCGAACAGGAUUAGAUACCCUGGUAGUCC